rnacentral:lncRNA from 1 species
UCAGAAGAAAAGAAAAAUAUCAGUCUUUUGGAAUUCUUGUUUCAUGUUGUUUUAGAGUCCCGUACAUUUGGAUUGCAAGCAUUGGUCAGUUUGCUUCAUAUUAUAUUGCAUUUUCUGUAUUUUAGCAAAAUAAUUUGUUUUGUGAUUGUAUCAUUUUAAAUUUUAUUCUUCCUUCUUUCUGUGUGCGUAUGUGUAUGCAUGUAUAUUUCAAAUUGUACCAGGAUCCCCAAGUGACUUUUUUUCUCAGCUUGUUUGACAUCAUGUUGUAGAAGCCAAGAGGAAUGAUACUAAUUUCAGUUAAUUAGAAGAAGAACAUUAGACUGGAAUAGAACAGGGAGAUAUUAAUUUGCAAGUCAUUAAUCUUUGACACAGAUGGCAAAGGAUUGUAUUUUUUUCCCAGUCCAAUCCUAUAUUUCAGAGGUAAGGAACCUGUGGACUGUAGCUCCCAUCAGCCCAAGCCAGCACACCUUGCAGGCUUACCACAGAGCUGAUGGUACGACCCUUUGCAUCUAACUACAGGAACACAGCCAGAUGCUUCUCCAAUCACCCUACUCUCUUCCACACAUGGAACUAUGGUGAUUCCACAAGGGGUUUUUUUUGCACAUUGUAGAAGUAAGAAGAGAAUAUCAGCCUCCUCAUCAAGCAAAAAAGGAAGAAAAAAAGCAUAUUGAGACAUAAGGUUGGCUUAUGCUUUCAUAUGCCAACAGGAUACCAGCUGACAUCUGCAUGACUUCUGAAAAGGACAUAAAUCCUUCCUGCUUUGAUCUAUCCACAGUACCUGCCAACAGACCCUCCUAACAAACCAGUGCAACAGAAAAUGUAACCUAGGAACAUAUCAAUACUCUCCAAGAGUGGAUGUUACAUUAUAUUGCUGGGUGCUUUGAUUGGACCUUGGGUGGUUGCUUUUUGUUAGUUGCUUUCCCUGCAUGCUGAACACUGCAAUAUCAAUUAAGCAUGCCACGCUACACCUUUGUGUUGAACGGUCGUGCAUUUGUUUUCCUUCACCAUGUGUGUACUAAUUAAUGUGACUUUUGGCGGACCGACUAUUUCACAGAAAUUAGCAGAAGCAGUGGGAUGAGUGUUUAAGUCUUGACUGCAUUUUUCUACAAGGUGGGGGGGGGGAAGGGGGAGGUGGUGGAAAAGGCAACUCUAUUUGUUGGUUCAG